AGAUGUUGGAGAUGAGCUGGUGAUGUGGAUGAACCCAUUAGGUGUUUUUUAACUUUUGGACAUUUGGAUUCAACGCCUGGUUUAGACUCUGCAAUAAAAACCACAAGGAAGAAGACAAGGAAAAAGCUCUCAUCCACUCACGCCCCUUCUCUACCUACGCUACAUUGAUGACAUCAUCAUCAUCUGGACCCAUGGGAAGGAGACCCUGGAAGAAUUCCACCAUGAUUUCAACAGCUUCCACCCCAC